CCCUCAAUUCAAGCGAGUCUUACAGCAAGGCUCAGUAUCUAGAAAGUCAAGAAAGAGAACAUUUUAAUCUGCUUUUUCUUCUUCCCUGAGCUUAAUUAUUCAGGUCUCACAGCCUUUCUAACUUGCAUGACAGUUGAAUUUAUUCAAGAGG